rnacentral:rRNA from 1 species
GAUGAGCGCUGGCGGCGUGCCUAAUACAUGCAAGUCGAGCGAACAGACGAGGAGCUUGCUCCUCUGACGUUAGCGGCGGACGGGUGAGUAACACGUGGAUAACCUACCUAUAAGACUGGGAUAACUUCGGGAAACCGGAGCUAAUACCGGAUAAUAUAUUGAACCGCAUGGUUCAAUAGUGAAAGACGGUCUUGCUGUCACUUAUAGAUGGAUCCGCGCCGCAUUAGCUAGUUGGUAAGGUAACGGCUUACCAAGGCAACGAUGCGUAGCCGACCUGAGAGGGUGAUCGGCCACACUGGAACUGAGACACGGUCCAGACUCCUACGGGAGGCAGCAGUAGGGAAUCUUCCGCAAUGGGCGAAAGCCUGACGGAGCAACGCCGCGUGAGUGAUGAAGGUCUUCGGAUCGUAAAACUCUGUUAUUAGGGAAGAACAAAUGUGUAAGUAACUAUGCACGUCUUGACGGUACUUAAUCAGAAAGCCACGGCUAACUACGUG